rnacentral:rRNA from 1 species
UACGUAGGGUGCGAGCGUUAAUCGGAAUUACUGGGCGUAAAGCGUGCGCAGGCGGUUCGUUGUGUCGGCGGUGAAAGCCCCGGGCUUAACCUGGGAAUGGCCGUCGAAACUGGCGAACUGGAGUGUGGCAGAGGGGGUGGAAUUCCGCGUGUAGCAGUGAAAUGCGUAGAGAUGCGGAGGAACACCGAUGGCGAAGGCAGCCUCCUGGGCCAGCACUGACGCUCAUGCACGAAAGCGUGGGGAGCAACAGG